rnacentral:rRNA from 1 species
UGGGGAAUUUUGGACAAUGGGCGAAAGCCUGAUCCAGCAAUGCCGCGUGUGUGAAGAAGGCCUUCGGGUUGUAAAGCACUUUUGUCCGGAAAGAAAUGGCUCUGGUUAAUACCUGGGGUCGAUGACGGUACCGGAAGAAUAAGGACCGGCUAACUACAUGCCAGCAGCCGCGGUAAUACGUAGGGUCCAAGCGUUAAUCGGAAUUACUGGGCGUAAAGCGUGCGCAGGCGGUUGUGCAAGACCGAUGUGAAAUCCCCGAGCUUAACUUGGGAAUUGCAUUGGUGACUGCACGGCUAGAGUGUGUCAGAGGGGGGUAGAAUUCCACGUGUAGCAGUGAAAUGCGUAGAGAUGUGGAGGAAUACCGAUGGCGAAGGCAGCCCCCUGGGAUAACACUGACGCUCAUGCACGAAAGCGUGGGGAGCAAACAGG